rnacentral:rRNA from 1 species
AUUGAACGCUGGCGGCAUGCCUUACACAUGCAAGUCGAACGGCAGCACGGGAGCAAUCCUGGUGGCGAGUGGCGAACGGGUGAGUAAUACAUCGGAACGUGCCCAGUAGUGGGGGAUAACCCGGCGAAAGCCGGACUAAUACCGCAUACGACCUACGGGUGAAAGCGGGGGAUCGCAAGACCUCGCGCUAUCGGAGCGGCCGAUGUCAGAUUAGCUAGUUGGUGGGGUAAAGGCCUACCAAGGCGACGAUCUGUAGCUGGUCUGAGAGGACGACCAGCCACACUGGGACUGAGACACGGCCCAGACUCCUACGGGAGGCAGCAGUGGGGAAUUUUAGACAAUGGGCGCAAGCCUGAUCCAGCCAUGCCGCGUGCGGGAAGAAGGCCUUCGGGUUGUAAACCGCUUUUGUCAGGGAAGAAACGCUCCGGGCUAAUACCACGGAGUAAUGACGGUACCUGAAGAAUAAGCACCGGCUAACUACGUG